AUUCUAAUGAUUAAUAUAAAUGAAUCGUGGUAUAUUCGCUUCUUUCUAGUUGGUUGGGUUGAUUUUUGCGGGGUUUACUGAAAACUGGGCAAUCCUGUUGCUGUGCGCGUUUCUUAUAAGGGCCUGGCUGUCUAGAGUAAGGGAAAACAAAAGAUGUAGGAUAGAAGGCGUGUAGAGUAACUGUAAUUAUACAUUCAAUGUUUCCUUCAAUCGUCGUUACGUUGUAUCUGAGGCAUCGUGUUUAGUAGAGGCCUGGCUGGAGAAGACUGGAAAACUACGGAGUGUAGUAAGGGUCUUUGCUAAGUCCUAUUGGAUCCCCUGAAGGAGUUGUAUAAACACACAAUUUGAUGAUGAACUUUCUGCAUAGCAAGAAGGGUCUUUGCCAUGUCCUAUUGGAUCUCGUGAAGGAGUUAAAUUAACUCACAAUAUGAUGAUGGACUUUCUGCAUAGCAAGAAGGGGUAACAAGCAGGUCCCAGAGGCAAAUGUGAGGAUAUAUAGAGACCAUGGAAUGGGCUGAUUACCCGGACAUGGCAUAAUGGUCAAUACAUGCACCUGCAGAUACAUGCACCUGCAGAGACAUGACAUAUCUUAAAUGAUUGUGCUGAAAAGUCAAGCUGCGGAGCUUCAGUGGAGAUGUAGCAGGCCCUGCAUAUAAGGAGAAUUUAAAGACUCAACUGGCAAUGGCAGGAAGGCUGGAAUGUGCUCAAGUCAUACCGAUUAGCUGCACUUAAACCCUCAAACAAAUGGACACAUCCUGAAUUACUGGAAUGACAUCGGCUUCCUCUUUGGAGUUUGGCUUCAGUACUCUGCAAAGUUCCUCGUGGCAAGAGGCUAUGGAUGGGGAUUGUCAUUGCCGUUUGCUUCAGUCUCUAGAGGGUGUCAUUUUUAAUAAAUGGCGUAUUAAAAAAACUAA